GUUUGAUCCUGGCUCAGGAUAAACGCUGGCGGCGUGCAUGAGACAUGCAAGUCGAACGAACGAGCUUGCUCGUUAGUGGCGAACGGCUGAGUAACGCGUAGGUGACCUGCCCCGAAGUGGGGGAUAACUGCCCGAAAGGGUGGCUAAUACCGCAUGUGGCGACGCUUUCAUUGGCGUCAUCAAAGCCGCGAGGCGCUUCGGGAGGGGCCUGCGUCCGAUUAGCUCGUUGGUGGGGUAAUGGCUCACCAAGGCGACGAUCGGUAGGUGGUCUGAGAGGACGAUCACCCAGACUGGGACUGAGACACGGCCCAGACUCCUACGGGAGGCAGCAGUCGGGAAUUUUGCUCAAUGGGGGAAACCCUGAAGCAGCAACGCCGCGUGCGGGAUGAAGGCCUUCGUGUUGUAAACCGCUUUUACCAGGGACGAUAAUGACGGUACCUGAUGAAUAAGUCACGGCUAACUACGUGCCAGCAGCCGCGGUAAUACGUAGGUGACUAGCGUUGUCCGGAUUUACUGGGCGUAAAGAGCGCGCAGGCGGUCGUUCAAGUCGAGUGUGAAAGCCCCCGGCUCAACUGGGGAGGGUCAUUCGAUACUGAUCGACUCGAAGGCAGGAGAGGGAAGCGGAAUUCCCGGUGUAGUGGUGAAAUGCGUAGAUAUCGGGAGGAACACCAGUGGCGAAGGCGGCUUCCUGGCCUGUUCUUGACGCUGAGGCGCGAAAGCUAGGGGAGCAAACGGGAUUAGAUACCCCGGUAGUCCUAGCCGUAAACGAUGGACACUAGGUGUUGGUGGUAUCAACCCCACCAGUGCCGAAGCUAACGCAUUAAGUGUCCCGCCUGGGGAGUACGGCCGCAAGGCUAAACUCAAAUGAAUUGACGG
rnacentral:rRNA from 1 species